CCAAGUGACUUUUUAUACAACCCUGGAAUGUUCCCAGGGAAUGAAAACUGCCAAAAAAGGAAAAAAGCCCAGGCAGAGCUUUACCCACCCCCGGGUCGUCCUCCUCGGGCUGGGUCUGAAAUAGAGAGUGGUGGAGUUGUUGGACAUCAGCAGUGGGUGGUUUGUGAAGAGCAAAAAUGGGAAUUGUAACGCUGCUUUUUUUACUUACGUCCUUUUUUUGAUAGGAAAAGGGAAGAUAAGUGACAGGAGCCUGUCCAGGGAGGGCUCCUACAGCCUUGUCCUCUCCCAGCACUGCUCCAGCUCUCACCCUUCCCAGGGAGGGACAAGGUUGAGGUGACAAAAAUCAGCUCCCAGGAUGCUGCAGCCUCCUCUCCUUGAAAUUUUGGAUGAGUCAAUUUUUGGGGUAACAGAACCACUCAAGAUGGGUAUCAGAAGGAACAAAGCUCCAGUAUCAGAGGCUUUACAUGGUCCAGAAAAAGAGAAGGUGUGGUUUUCAGUGGGCAGGAGACAGACCUGUCAUGGGCAGAACUGAAAACAACUGGUGAACUGUGACAAGCCAAACCAUAAAUUCAUCUGCACAUGUUUAUAAAAUAUUUAUCUUCUCUCCCUUGCACUUCAUUUCCAAGAUAUUUUAAGAGUCAACUCAUGAUUUUCUUCAACAAACCCUUCUCCACCCACACAUCACAGUCUCAUAUAAACGCAUCUUUCUAUUGAGACCAUUAGAGAGAUUUUCCUCCCUAAAUGACAAAAAACCCCCAGAGUUUAAAAUAAAAUAAAUAAAUAAUA